ACGGGCUUUGUAGCAAUACAAAGUAAGUAGCGAACGGGUGAGUAGCGCAUGGGAAUCUACCUAUCAAUAAGGAAUAAGUGCCAUUAGGUACAAAUACCUUAUAUUAUUCUACGGAAGAAAGAUUUAUCGUUGAUAGAAGAGCCCAUGUCAGAUUAGAUAGUUGGUGAGGUAAUGGCUCACCAAGUCGAUGAUCUGUAGCUGGUUUGAGAGAACGAUCAGCCACAAUGGAACUGAGACACGGUCCAUACUUC
rnacentral:rRNA from 1 species